rnacentral:tRNA from 1 species
GAGCCGUUACUCAGUUGGUAGAGCAUCUGACUUUUAAUCAGAGGGUCGCUGGUUCGAACCCAGCACGGCUCA